UGCCUACAACAUAGCGUUAAUGCACCAUAUCCCAUAGAACUCCGCAGUUAAACACGCUCGAGCUAGAGUAGUAUUGGGAUGGGUGACCACCCGAGAAGUCCUAGUAUUUUAAAUGC
rnacentral:rRNA from 1 species